rnacentral:rRNA from 1 species
UUUGGUUAAGUUAGAAAGGGCGCACGGUGGAUGCCUUGACACUAGGAGUCGAUGAAGGACGGGACUAACGCCGAUAUGCUUCGGGGAGCUGUAAGUAAGCUUUGAUCCGAAGAUUUCCGAAUGGGGAAACCCACCAUACGUAAUGGUAUGGUAUCCUUAUCUGAAUACAUAGGGUAAGGAA